rnacentral:rRNA from 1 species
CCUACGGGUGGCAGCAGUGGGGAAUAUUGCACAAUGGGGGAAACCCUGAUGCAGCGAAGCCGCGUGUGGGAAGACGGUCCUCUGGAUUGUAAACCACUGUUCCCAGGGACGAAGAUGACGGUACAUGGGGAGGAAGCUCCGGCUAACUACGUGCCAGCAGCCGCGGUAAUACGUAGGGAGCGCGCGUUGACCGGAAUUACUGGGUGUAAAGGGAGCGUAGGCGGGGAUGCAAGUUGGGGGUCAAAACGAGGGGCUCAACUGGGAGUCGCACUCGAAACUGCAGCUCUUGAGUGAAGGAGAGGCAGGCGGAAUGCGUGGUGUAGCGGUGAAAUGCGUAGAUAUUAGGAAGAACUCCAGUGGCGAAGGCGGCCUGCUGGGCUGUUACUGACGCUGAGGCUCGAAAGUGUGGGUAGCGAACAGGAUUAGAUACCCUAGUAGUC